UACGGGGGGAGCAAGCGUUGUUCGGAUUUACUGGGCGUAAAGGGCGCGUAGGCGGCCACCGCAAGUCGACUGUGAAAUCUCCGGGCUUAACCCGGAAAGGUCAGCCGAUACUGCGGGGCUAGAGUGCAGAAGGGGCAACUGGAAUUCUCGGUGUAGCGGUGAAAUGCGUAGAUAAUCGAGAGGAACACCUGCGGCGAAGGCGGGUUGCUGGGCUGACACUGACGCUGAGGCGCGAAAGCUAGGGGAGCGAACGGG
rnacentral:rRNA from 1 species